AGCGUCCGUAGCCGGCCGAGCGGGUCCGUCGGGAAAUCCGCGUGCUCAACGCGCGGGCGUCCGGCGGAAACCACUCGGCUUGGGGCCGGAGGACUCGAGGGGUACGUCCGGGGUAGGAGUGAAAUCCCGUAAUCCUGGACGGACCGCCGAUGGCGAAAGCACCUCGAGAGGACGGACCCGACGGUGAGGGACGAAAGCCAGGUUCUCGAACCGGAUUAGAUACCCGGGUAGUCCUGGCCGUAAACGAUGUUCGCUAGGUGUGGCGUCGACUACGAGUCGGCGCUGUGCCGCAGGGAAGCCGCUAAGCGAACCGCCUGGGAAGUACGUCCGCAAGGAUGAAACUUAAAGGAAUUGGCGGGGGAGCACUACAACCGGAGGAGCCUGCGGUUUAAUUGGACUCAACGCCGGAAAUCUUACCAGCUCCGACAGUAGCGAUGACGCUCAGUGUGAUGAGCUUGGUUGAGCUACUGAGAGGAGGUGCAUGGCCGCCGUCAGCUCGUACCGUGAGGCGUCCUGUUAAGUCAGGCAACGAGCGAGACCCGCACUCUUAAUUGCCAGCGACACCGCGAGGUGGUCGGGUACAUUAGGAGGACUGCCGUCGCCAAGACGGAGGAAGGAACGGGCAACGGUAGGUCAGUAUGCCCCGAAUGAGCUGGGCUACACGCGGGCUACAAUGGUCGAGACAAUGGGUUCCAACCUCGAGAGAGGACGGUAAUCUCCUAAACUCGGUCGUAGUUCGGAUUGAGGGUUGAAACUCACCC
rnacentral:rRNA from 1 species